rnacentral:rRNA from 1 species
CCUGGCUCAGAACGAACGCUGGCGGCAGGCUUAACACAUGCAAGUCGAACGCGUGUAGCAAUACACGAGUGGCGCACGGGUGAGUAACACGUGGAUAUCUGCCUUUUGGUUCGGAAUAACCCCGGGAAACUGGGGCUAAUACCGGAUAGUUCCUUCGGGAUAAAGAUUUAUCGCCAAAAGAUGAGUCCGCGUACGAUUAGCUAGUUGGUGAGGUAAUGGCUCACCAAGGUGACGAUCGUUAGCUGGUCUGAGAGGACGAUCAGCCACACUGGGACUGAGACACGGCCCAGACUCCUACGGGAGGCAGCAGUGGGGAAUAUUGGACAAUGGGGGCAACCCUGAUCCAGCCAUGCCGCGUGAGUGAUGAAGGCCUUCGGGUUGUAAAGCUCUUUUGGCGGGGACGAUGAUGACGGUACCCGCAGAAUAAGCCCCGGCUAACUUCGUGCCAGCAGCCGCGGUAAGACGAAGGGGGCUAGCGUUGUUCGGAAUUACUGGGCGUAAAGCGAGUGUAGGUGGUUGUCCAAGUUGGAUGUGAAAGCCUUGAGCUCAACUCAAGAAAUGCAUUCAGGACUGGAUGGCUAGAGGACCGGAGAGGAUAGUGGAAUUCCCAGUGUAGUGGUGAAAUACGUAGAGAUUGGGAAGAACACCAGUGGCGA